rnacentral:rRNA from 1 species
CCUACGGGAGGCAGCAGUAGGGAAUCUUCCACAAUGGGCGAAAGCCUGAUGGAGCAACGCCGCGUGGGUGAAGAAGGUCUUCGGAUCGUAAAACCCUGUUGUUAGAGAAGUAAGUGCGUGAGAGUAACUGUUCACGUUUCGACGGUAUCUAACCAGAAAGCCACGGCUAACUACGUGCCAGCAGCUGCGGUAAUACGUAGGUGGCGAGCGUUAUCCGGAUUUAUUGGGCGUAAAGGGAACGCAGUCGGUCUUUUAAGUCUGAUGUGAAAGGCUUCGGCUUAACCGGAGUAGUGCAUUGGAGACUGGGAGACUUGAGUACAGAAGAGGAAGGUGGAACUCGAUGUGUAGCGGUGAAAUGCGUAGAUAUAUGGAAGAACCCCGGUGGCGAAGGCAGCUUUCUAGUCUGUAACUGACACUGAGGUUCGAAAGCGUGGGUAGCAAACAGGAUUAGAUACCCUUGUAGUC